AGCGAACGCUGGCGGCAGGCUUAACACAUGCAAGUCGAGCGGGCGUAGCAAUACGUCAGCGGCAGACGGGUGAGUAACGCGUGGGAACGUACCUUUUGGUUCGGAACAACCCAGGGAAACUUGGGCUAAUACCGGACAAGCCCUUACGGGGAAAGAUUUAUCGCCGAAAGAUCGGCCCGCGUCUGAUUAGCUAGUUGGUGAGGUAAUGGCUCACCAAGGCGACGAUCAGUAGCUGGUCUGAGAGGAUGAUCAGCCACAUUGGGACUGAGACACGGCCCAAACUCCUACGGGAGGCAGCAGUGGGGAAUAUUGGACAAUGGGCGCAAGCCUGAUCCAGCCAUGCCGCGUGAGUGAUGAAGGCCCUAGGGUUGUAAAGCUCUUUUGUGCGGGAAGAUAAUGACGGUACCGCAAGAAUAAGCCCCGGCUAACUUCGUGCCAGCCGCCGCAGUAA
rnacentral:rRNA from 1 species